GACGAACGCUGGCGGCGUGCUUAACACAUGCAAGUCGAACGGAAAGGCCCUGCUUUUGUGGGGUGCUCGAGUGGCGAACGGGUGAGUAACACGUGAGUAACCUGCCCUUGACUUUGGGAUAACUUCAGGAAACUGGGGCUAAUACCGGAUAGGAGCUCCUGCUGCAUGGUGGGGGUUGGAAAGUUUCGGCGGUUGGGGAUGGACUCGCGGCUUAUCAGCUUGUUGGUGGGGUAGUGGCUUACCAAGGCUUUGGCGGGUAGCCGGCCUGAGAGGGUGACCGGCCACAUUGGGACUGCGAUACGGACCAGACUCCUACGGGAGGCAGCAGUGGGGAAUAUUGCACAAUGGGCGGAAGCCUGAUGCAGCAACGCCGCGUGCGGGAUGACGGCCUUCGGGUUGUAAACCGCUUUCGCCUGUGACGAAGCGUGAGUGACGGUAAUGGGUAAAGAAGCACCGGCUAACUACGUG
rnacentral:rRNA from 1 species